rnacentral:lncRNA from 1 species
AAGUGUGUGGUCGUAGGGGAGGGGGCUUGCCACGUGAGGAAGGCGGUCUGGGGAGGCGUCACCCGGAGGAUGACGUCAGAGUAGAGAGCAGAGAGAGGACGCGAACGCGGGAGAGCGCGGGGCGCUUUGAGGAAGAGCAAAGAGGAGGGCAGGGCGGAGGGGAGAGAGGCCGGUGAGAAAGGCGGGGACCACGGUGCACCACGCUGCCAGGACUUUGGCUCUGGAGCCGAGCGAGCGGCGGCGGCCCUGAAGAUGGGCUGGGUGGACGCGGCGCGCGCCGGCUGUCGCCUCGGCAUCUUCAGCUCAGCCUGGAGGCCCCGCGCACCCCGCCCAGCUCGCGCACGCCCACUCGCCUCGUGCGGCCCGUAGACCACCGCCAGCGCCUUGGUGUUGCCUUGCUCGAUGUAGGCCGAGCCGUCGGCCUGCGCGAACACGCCCAUCCGCGCCUGGAUCUUGCGCAGCUCCCCGGCGCGCCGUCCGUCUACCCGGUAGCCCUGAUCCGACAGCAGCUCCAGGCCCGCCAUGUCGCCCGGCCGCUAGCCACGCUUCCGCCUCCCGCAAAACUACAGUUCCCGGCGGCUCUGACCCUCACUUCCGACCUCCCGGCGGCCUGCGGUUUCCGGCGGCCGAACGCCCCACUUCCGGCCUCGGAGCACUAGGGUGCCGUGCGGCCCCGCUUGCCCUACUUCCUGCCGCGGGAGUCUUGGGCGGUGCCGACCGGGGGCCAGAGCGCUGUGCCCGCGGGCGUUUUGGGGCGCUGUCCCACGGCUGCCAGAGGUGGAGACCGGCAGGGAGAAGGGGAGAAGGGUCCCCCGGCCGCGCCCCUUCGGGUUUGUCGCGGGGGCGGUUUUAACGCUCACCCCCCCCUCCCCCCCCGCCCGAGACCUCCCCGGACUUUGCCGCACGCGCCUACACCAGGUCCCAGAGGGCCGGGACCUGCCGCGCCCGGCCACUCCUGCACCCCACCUUCGGGGACCGCGCCUGCGCCCUGCCUGCUAGUCCCUGGCCGCGGAGGCUCCUCGGAGGUUGGGCGGGAGAGCGCAGCGCCUGCUGCGGGAUGCGGCGUCCCGUCAGCGCUGAUUUUCUUGCUCUUCCGCAGCCGUAAAGGCAUGCGUUCUCCCAAGCCGAGACACGCUUUGUGUUUUCUUACCGUUUAGGUUUUACAUUUGUACAUUAAAAAAAAUUGACACAUAAUCUGUACGGUACACACACAUGCUCAUACUCCUUUGAUAGAGCGUUUAAGGUUUUCUUUCCCAUGUUGGCUGAGUUCUUUUUGUCCGCAUCCCCUCUGCCCCCACACCCUCUUCCUUACCGUAAUAAAUAGUUCUUUCCAGGUUUUUCUCCAGACUCAAAUGUGAUCACAUGUGAAUCAAGCACAGAUACACGCCGUUGUACAGUCAUGUAGCAUUUGGCUCUGUGGUGGUUAUUACUAUUUAAUGGGAAUCUUAUAUGCACUUUUCUGUGUCUCACUCAACACCUUAUGAAAUCCACGUAAUCUUGUGGAACUCUCAUUAAUUUUUGAUUGCCAGGGAUGUAUCCCCGCUACUGCCCCACGUGGGCAGUGGGUGCCUGUCGAGGGGCUUAGGCAAUGGGGAUAGAAUCCCACAAUGCGGAUUCUCUGAAUGAAGCGUAAACGUGAGAGUUCCUUUUUCCCCUCUCUUCCCACCAAGAGUAACUGUUACAUUUUUACAUAAUCCUUGCCAGGCCUGAGUGUUACUGACUUCACCUCUCUUUCCCCUAUCCUGACUUGGUGUAUUCCAGCACCUGGUGGCAAUCCCACAGGAGGGAACUGCCAGUGUGUCUAUAGGGGGGAGAUACGAGGGGUUUUCCUCCCCAGGUACCUGCUGCUCCAGGUGUCUCUGUUUCCCAGUGGUCAAGGUCCCCAGCAGGAGGCUCGUGUCCCCCCUUCCAGCGGCAUGACUCAGCUCCUCUGCAGUGCUCAGGAAGCCAGAGCCCGUGCUCCAACUUUGGAAGUGGGAAGAUGAGCCGAAAGGGUUGCCACACACUGAGAGGAGGUGCUAGGAGGAAGGUGCACAGGCCCCGCUCCCAGCAUGCCCUCCGUUUACAUCCAGCUCCCGCAAAGCCGGAAAACGGGCCACCCUUUUCCUCUGAGGAUGAAGAUAGCCUCACCCUUUCCAAAAGGGGUUGCGUGGAGUUUGCAUGUCUGUUUAUCUCUUGCUGCAUAACCUUAGUGACUUCAAAUAACAAAAAAUUAGAUUA